UACGUAGGGGGCAAGCGUUGGUCCGGAUUUAUUGGGCGUAAAGAGCGUGUAGGCGGCCAGACAGGUCAGCUGUGAAAACUCGAGGCUCAACCUCGAGACGUCGGUUGAAACCGUCUGGCUAGAGUCCGGAAGAGGAGAGUGGAAUCCCGGUGUGAGCGGUGAAAUGCGCAGAUAUCGGGAAGAACACCCGUGGCGAAGGCGGCUCUCUGGAACGCAACUGACGCUGAGACGCGAAAGCGUGGGGAGCAA
rnacentral:rRNA from 1 species